AAGUCGUAACAAGGUAACCGUAGGUGAACCUGCGGUUGGAUCAUUAACAAAAUCCAAACAAAAAAGAGGACUUAGGAUGCGGACUUUUGAUAUUUUUAAUUGGACUUUAUAACCUAUGAAAGCUUGUCUUUUUGUAUUUUAAAAUAAAAAACAACUUUUGGCAACGGAUCUCUAGGCUCUU
rnacentral:misc_RNA from 1 species